rnacentral:tRNA from 1 species
CGGGUGGUGGUGGGCGGGACAGCGGCGGAAGCGAAUUCCGCGGCAUCGGCGGUGAGGUCCAGGUAGGCCUGUUCCAGCGUGGCCUGCUCGUC